UAGGGUCUUACAUUUAAAGAAAAAGUAACAAGCCUUAAAUUCAAACAAAAACCUACAGACCUGGAGACAAGAAGCUCUCACAAGUGUAUUUUUACAUCUGCAAGAAAUUAGUCAUCAAAUGCUUAGUAGCACAGAAAUUCUCAAGUGGUUGCAAGAAAUUAUGAUCUGCAGGAAUAAAUUUCUUCUUUAAAAUAAGCAGGCAGACAGAAGUUCCUGUCACUUUCUCCUUUUUUACAGAGUAGGAUGUGAUACUCCUUCUAGUGGAAAUACCAGUCAAAUGUCCAUGGGUCUUGAAGAGUCACUACAAACUCCUAGAGACUCUCUCCAGAAGGGAAAAGGGAGCUCUUCUAUGGAUAGUGCAGCAGUAUGCACUGGAACCCCCCCGAUUUGCCGACAAGCACAGACCAAACUAGAAGUGGCCCUG